rnacentral:tmRNA from 1 species
GGGGGUGUAAAGGUUUCGACAGGUGUUCGGAACGAAGAUAAGCGAGCCGUGGCGGUGAACCACGUAAAAAGCACUCGUUACAAAGAAACGCUAAAACAAACAACAAUUUCGCACUGGCUGCAUAGUUCAGCCCGCGUGUCGGCCUAAGUUCCUCUGCAGGCUUGGGACCCGGCAUCAUUUAUGCAGAACCCCCUUGCGUGAGCUCCCGGUAGCGUAAGGGACUUACGGGAUAGCCUUGGCGCAGUCUGCCGACGUGACGGCUGCUGAGGCGAAAUACAAAUCAUCGGCUGCGCUCGGAGAAAGUUUUCCGGAAGGAUUCUUGGACGUGGGUUCGACUCCCACCACUUCCACCA